UACGGGGGGAGCAAGCGUUGUUCGGAUUUACUGGGCGUAAAGGGCGCGUAGGCGGCCAGCACAAGUCAGUUGUGAAAUCUCCGAGCUUAACUCGGAAAGGUCAACUGAUACUGUGCGGCUAGAGUGCAGAAGGGGCAACUGGAAUUCUUGGUGUAGCGGUGAAAUGCGUAGAUAUCAAGAGGAACACCUGCGGCGAAGGCGGGUUGCUGGGCUGACACUGACGCUGAGGCGCGAAAGCUAGGGGAGCGGAACGGG
rnacentral:rRNA from 1 species